UCUGAUGAGAAUGGUGUCAUCACGUCGAGGCCCAAAUUGCACCCCUCACAUAAAACUGCCUCCUCUUCUCUCUUUCCUGCUUAUCCUUCUCUGGGAAGCAACGGCAUCCAACCGGGUCACCCCCCGUCACAGGCAGAAGAGGGGACAUGUGGCACAACUCGAGGAAACGCCGCUACCCAUGAGGACCAAACACAUCAUUUGCUGGACGAGCCUGAUGCCUAGCAGGACUCUUCAGUUUUGGAAAAAGCGCAUUUCUUGUGUUGAACUGAAUUUUGCCUCGGGCUUGUCCUGUUGCUCAGAAGUAAGACGCUCUAUCUGCAGCAGGCUCUGCAGAGAUCUCCGCUGUACAUUUGCUUCAGGGCUUUUCCUCAGUUAUCUGUGCCUGGACAAACACAAAACUGCAUUUCUUGGCCUCCUGCCCAUCUGGACUGGGGAAGCAUCCUGCUCCAUUGGCAAGACAUCAACCAGAGUACAGGAGAGUGAACAAAAAGAAUGGCCUGUUAUUCAUGUCUGGCGAAAAAUCCCUCGCAGGACUCCAGGUCUACUGAGAACCACAGAGAACACGCCUUAUGGGGCAGACCUCUUCCUGGAAUCAGUUCAGCUCUUAGAACCCCCCAUGGGUGGCUGA
rnacentral:lncRNA from 1 species